rnacentral:rRNA from 1 species
AGAUUGAACGCUGGCGGCAUGCCUUACACAUGCAAGUCGAACGGCAGCACGGGAGCAAUCCUGGUGGCGAGUGGCGAACGGGUGAGUAAUACAUCGGAACGUGCCCAAUCGUGGGGGAUAACGCAGCGAAAGCUGUGCUAAUACCGCAUAAGAUCUACGGAUGAAAGCAGGGGAUCGCAAGACCUUGCGCGAAUGGAGCGGCCGAUGGCAGAUUAGGUAGUUGGUGAGGUAAAGGCUCACCAAGCCUUCGAUCUGUAGCUGGUCUGAGAGGACGACCAGCCACACUGGGACUGAGACACGGCCCAGACUCCUACGGGAGGCAGCAGUGGGGAAUUUUGGACAAGUGGGCG